UGGGUUGUAAUUCAAUCGGUCAGAGCACUGCUCUGUCAAGGUGGAAGUUGCGGGUUCAAGCCCCGUCAAUCCCG
rnacentral:tRNA from 1 species